rnacentral:rRNA from 1 species
CACUCCUACGGGAGGCAGCAGUAGGGAAUCUUCGGCAAUGGGGGCAACCCUGACCGAGCAACGCCGCGUGAGUGAAGAAGGUUUUCGGAUCGUAAAGCUCUGUUGUAAGUCAAGAACGAGUGUGAGAGUGGAAAGUUCACACUGUGACGGUAGCUUACCAGAAAGGGACGGCUAACUACGUGCCAGCAGCCGCGGUAAUACGUAGGUCCCGAGCGUUGUCCGGAUUUAUUGGGCGUAAAGCGAGCGCAGGCGGUUUGAUAAGUCUGAAGUUAAAGGCUGUGGCUCAACCAUAGUUCGCUUUGGGAACUGUCAAACUUGAGUGCAGAAGGGGAGAGUGGAAUUCCAUGUGUAGCGGUGAAAUGCGUAGAUAUAUGGAGGAACACCGGUGGCGAAAGCGGCUCUCUGGUCUGUAACUGACGCUGAGGCUCGAAAGCGUGGGGAGCGAACAGGAUUAGAUACCCCAGUAGUCCCAUGAU